AGAUGUGAGGGUGAUCUGGCUGUGAAAUCUGUCACCCCCAUUGAUCACCAGGGUUGAUUUGAUUGUUCUGGCUGGCUAGGUGGGCGUCCCCUUCCUCCCUCACCGCUCCAUGUGCAUCCCUCCCGAAACUGCGUGCUCAGUUGAAGAGGAUGACCUUCCCCCAAUAGAGAUGACAGUCUUAGGUCGAGGGUAUAGGAGUAGCUGCGCUCCCCUGCUAGAACCUCCAAACAAGCUCUCAAGUAUCAUUCAAACACCUACAUUGCAAGCACUAUAGAAUAAGUUACACAAGGAUCAUAACUAUCUUC
ensembl:misc_RNA 7SK 7SK RNA